GGCCGGCAUUGUUUGUGUUCGCACGUUAGUUGUCUGUGUGAUGUGGGAGCUGGUGAGCGCUGGGUGCCGUCCACUGCUUGCCCUUGACAGACGCCUCUGAACUCCAGGACUCUUUAACCAACCUAGUCUUUUGCCUGACUGCCACUGAGCUCCAAGUCCUCUCGCUGAGACCAGGAUGGAUAUGGAUGCGGGAGAACAUCACCUCGCCAGCCUGUGCCAAGACUCCUGCAUCUUACAGACGAGUGGGGUUUCGACUACCAGACGUCACGUCCCAUCGCCUGCGUGCUGACCAGCCAGUGGUUACCGAAGAUGCCAAGAUGAGUGAACACUCGCCACUGGCGGUCACGGUGUUUCUACGGGCGCGGGAGGCCACACUCUAGAGUCUGGAGAUUCUGUGUAAGAGCGCUGGUGCUGCCUCGCCUCGAGUAAGAUCGAGGCACCUGCACCAGCACGUCACUGGAGGUGGUGGUCCUGGACUCCCUCUGGACAGGUCGUGGUGGGAGCCGUAGCAAGCUGAGAUGGGUGAGGGACUACCAGCGCCGAUGCUUCAGCGACGUGACUCCGGUUUGCUGCUGCUGUCCAUCCAUCCUCACCAAGCGCAGGGCACGUCGUUGCACAGCAUCCAGUCUCUGCAAGUUGGUGGUGCGCACUCCUUCUCUCUCCUCCCCCUCCUCUCUCCCGGCUGCCUCUACACACACCCUGUGUAAGUUCCUCCUGCACUGCAAUCAGCAAGGGGAUGGUGGUCGAGAGAGAGAGACAUCCUCCCUGCAACCACCUGAUACUGGCCCUUUUCCUGUCUUGGAGGGAGGCGAUAAGCACACCUCCCUGCUGAACGUCGCUGAAAGCACGUACGUAUGUGUGUCGCGGCUUUGGAACAUGAAGCCACACACCUCCACACCUGCCACACGAAUACUGAAAAUAAAUAAUUGAAUGUAGUUAAGUUCAUUUGG